GAUGAACGCUGGCGGCGUGCCUAAUACAUGCAAGUCGAGCGAACGGACGAGAAGCUUGCUUCUCUGAUGUUAGCGGCGGACGGGUGAGUAACACGUGGAUAACCUACCUAUAAGACUGGGAUAACUUCGGGAAACCGGAGCUAAUACCGGAUAAUAUUUUGAACCGCAUGGUUCAAAAGUGAAAGACGGUCUUGCUGUCACUUAUAGAUGGAUCCGCGCUGCAUUAGCUAGUUGGUAAGGUAACGGCUUACCAAGGCAACGAUGCAUAGCCGACCUGAGAGGGUGAUCGGCCACACUGGAACUGAGACACGGUCCAGACUCCUACGGGAGGCAGCAGUAGGGAAUCUUCCGCAAUGGGCGAAAGCCUGACGGAGCAACGCCGCGUGAGUGAUGAAGGUCUUCGGAUCGUAAAACUCUGUUAUUAGGGAAGAACAUAUGUGUAAGUAACUGUGCACAUCUUGACGGUACCUAAUCAGAAAGCCACGGCUAACUACGUGCCAGCAGCCGCGGUAAUACGUAGGUGGCAAGCGUUAUCCGGAAUUAUUGGGCGUAAAGCGCGCGUAGGCGGUUUUUUAAGUCUGAUGUGAAAGCCCACGGCUCAACCGUGGAGGGUCAUUGGAAACUGGAAAACUUGAGUGCAGAAGAGGAAAGUGGAAUUCCAUGUGUAGCGGUGAAAUGCGCAGAGAUAUGGAGGAACACCAGUGGCGAAGGCGACUUUCUGGUCUGUAACUGACGCUGAUGUGCGAAAGCGUGGGGAUCAAACAGGAUUAGAUACCCUGGUAGUCCACGCCGUAAACGAUGAGUGCUAAGUGUUAGGGGGUUUCCGCCCCUUAGUGCUGCAGCUAACGCAUUAAGCACUCCGCCUGGGGAGUACGACCGCAAGGUUGAAACUCAAAGGAAUUGACGGGGACCCGCACAAGCGGUGGAGCAUGUGGUUUAAUUCGAAGCAACGCGAAGAACCUUACCAAAUCUUGACAUCCUUCGACAACUCUAGAGAUAGAGCUUUCCCCUUCGGGGGACAAAGUGACAGGUGGUGCAUGGUUGUCGUCAGCUCGUGUCGUGAGAUGUUGGGUUAAGUCCCGCAACGAGCGCAACCCUUAAGCUUAGUUGCCAUCAUUAAGUUGGGCACUCUAAGUUGACUGCCGGUGACAAACCGGAGGAAGGUGGGGAUGACGUCAAAUCAUCAUGCCCCUUAUGAUUUGGGCUACACACGUGCUACAAUGGACAAUACAAAGGGCAGCGAAACCGUGAGGUCAAGCAAAUCCCAUAAAGUUGUUCUCAGUUCGGAUUGUAGUCUGCAACUCGACUACAUGAAGCUGGAAUCGCUAGUAAUCGUAGAUCAGCAUGCUACGGUGAAUACGUUCCCGGGUCU
rnacentral:rRNA from 1 species